GUGCUCACUUCUGCAAAACAUGCACUAAAAUUGGAAUGAUACAGAGAAGAUUAGCAUCCUUGCACAAGGAUGACACACAAAUUAGUGCAGAAUUUCUUAUUUUU
ensembl:snRNA U6 U6 spliceosomal RNA